UACGUAGGUGGCAAGCGUUGUCCGGAUUUACUGGGCGUAAAGAGCGCGCAGGCGGUCGUACAAGUCGCGUGUGAAAGCCCCCGGCUCAACUGGGGAGGGUCACGCGAUACUGUUCGACUCGAAGGCAGGAGAGGGAAGCGGAAUUCCCGGUGUAGUGGUGAAAUGCGUAGAUAUCGGGAGGAACACCAGUGGCGAAGGCGGUUUCCUGGCCUGUUCUUGACGCUGAGGCGCGAAAGCUAGGGUAGCAAACGGG
rnacentral:rRNA from 1 species